UUUUUUAAUUGAAAACUUGUAUGAAGGGUUGAACGAGAUAUUAGCUGUUUCAUAAAAAUUUUAUUAGAACUUUACUUUUUAGUUAAAAGGCUAAAAUUUAUUUAAAAGACGAGAAGACCCUAUAGAGUUUAAUAAUUUAUUAAUUUUAAAAAAUAUAGAAAAUUUAAAAUUAAAUUUAAUUAAUUAUUUUGUUGGGGUGACAAUAAAAUUUAAAAACCUUUUAUUAUUAUUAAACAUUAAUUAAUGAAUUUAUUGAUCCAAUUAUAUUGAUUAAAAAUUUAAAUUACCUUAGGGAUAACAGCGUAAUUUUUUUUUAGAGUUCUUAUCAAUAAAAAUUUUUGC
rnacentral:rRNA from 1 species